ensembl:lncRNA
AUAGAAGUGAAAAUGUUAACCAUAAAUCAUACACUCUUCCUUCCCAUAGCUAGUCUUCUCUCCCUUCUCCCCAAGCCUUCUAAUGGUAAAUACCCGGUGAGGGGUGUGUUUUCUAUAACUGGUGUGGUUCAAAUUUAGUUUACUUGAGGGAGAAUCAAGGGCAGAUUUUAGAUUUUAUGGUGGAUUCCAUAGUACACAGAGAUUAAGGAAUGUUACAAUAUUUUUUCCUGGUGUUCUUUUUUAAAGAACAAAGGACGGAAGUGUGACAAAUAUUUGCGAGAUUUUUUUUUUUAAAGCAACAUGGCCAUAGGUACUUAAUGCUAUUUGGCAGUGUUGACAUUUAAUACAUUUCAGCUAUCCUUUGGGAACACUGCACCAACUUCACUUUCCGAGAGCUUCUGUAAAAGCUAACUGAAAGUAUUGAAGGAGUAGUCCGGGAAAUAGAGGAUGGGUGGGGGAAGAGCCUGUCUCAAACUUUGAGUUUUAUCGUUUAUUUCCAUAUAAAUGAUUUAUUUCCAUUAUUCUCAAUUUCCAACAAUUACUCCUACAUUCCGUAAAGAGACGUAAAAAAUCAAGGAAUUUUUUCUCUCUCUCUCCAUGCAAACAUCCACAAGUCGAUCUUAUGGCAUCUCCACCUUUUGCACUCUGCAGGAAGAAAAGAGUUCCUAGCAUGGGGAGGAAAGCUGAGGAUUUGAAGAGAGGUAGCUCCCGUCUAGGGGUGUUCCAGAAGCUGAAGCUCCAAAGGAAGAGAACAACACUGAGCAGAGCCUGAGCCCCAGCCACCCAUCAGUUAGAGCUAUUCAUAGGGUGUACGCCUGGGCACUAAUCUGCAAGACGGUCUCUGUGGCGCAAUCGGUUAGCGCGUUCGGCUGUUAACCGAAAGGUUGGUGGUUCGAGCCCACCCAGGGACGGUUCUCUUUUGAAAUUUUGUAGAGCAUUUCUUGUCCAAGACGUUCUAGUAGAGAGGAAAAGGGAAGGGGAAGGCUUGGCAGGUUCCAGCAAGGAAAGAUACGCAGAUGCGAGUUGGGAGACGAGAGGAGUAUGGGGGAAGGUGAGGACACCGCGCCCACCCCCUUCGCAGCAAAAACAGGCGGUGAUUCCUCCAUUUCCGGCGGCAGCCCGACCCCACCCCCUCCCCCAGCGCCUUCCGCUCCUGAGAAGGUGGCGAGGCCGAGGCAGAGACCGAGACCGAAGCCGAAUCUGGGAGGGGCCGGCCUGGAGGAUGAAACGGAGUUCAGGAGACGUUACAAACAAAAAUCCCUUCAAGUAUACUAAAAGGGAAAAACAGGUGAUUGACCUGUCACUUUGAAGAUAUAAAUAACUCAGAGGAGAAAUGCUGACCUCUUAAAUGAAAGGGAAGACUACCACCAAGUAGAUGGUGAAAAAUCCAGUUCUAAUUCUCCUGGAGAAGUAUCCUAGCGAAGAUUAAUAUAUGGAAAAGGGCCAAGUGAGUAUAGUGCUUCUUCUUUUGCAAACACAAAGGACAGAGGCAAACAAUUUAAUUGUCUGAAAACAAAAUCUGAUAAUAACAAUUAUAUAUAGUUAAAUAGAGGAAACAUCUCUCAUGCUUACUUCUUAAUAUUUAGCAAAGGAGAAAAGAAUAUUAGACUAGAUAAUGAGAAAAUGUUCCUUUUAGUAGAACUAUUUCCAAUUGCCCAGGGAAGAAAUCCAUGAUUUCAAUAUUUCUGAAAAGAUGUUUACUAAUGGGAUUUUUUAAAUUCAAGAAAUUACAUUUGUCUCUUUAAAAAUCAAGUGAAAGGUAUUUUUAGUAAUAAGUGUGAAUUAAGAAGGCAACCUUGGAUUCUGAUUUCCUGACUCAGGAUAAAAUAAAGGUAUACAAAAUCUUGAGGCUGUAAGAGAG